rnacentral:rRNA from 1 species
GACGAACGCUGGCGGCGUGCCUAAUACAUGCAAGUAGAACGCUGAAGAGAGGAGCUUGCUCUUCUUGGAUGAGUUGCGAACGGGUGAGUAACGCGUAGGUAACCUGCCUUGUAGCGGGGGAUAACUAUUGGAAACGAUAGCUAAUACCGCAUAACAAUGGAUGACACAUGUCAUUUAUUUGAAAGGGGCAAUUGCUCCACUACAAGAUGGACCUGCGUUGUAUUAGCUAGUAGGUGAGGUAAUGGCUCACCUAGGCGACGAUACAUAGCCGACCUGAGAGGGUGAUCGGCCACACUGGGACUGAGACACGGCCCAGACUCCUACGGGAGGCAGCAGUAGGGAAUCUUCGGCAAUGGGGGCAACCCUGACCGAGCAACGCCGCGUGAGUGAAGAAGGUUGUCGGAUCGUAAAGCUCUGUUGUAAGUCAAGAACGGGUGUGAGAGUGGAAAGUUCACACUGUGACGGUAGCUUACCAGAAAGGGACGGCUAACUACGUG